CCUCAGAUUGGAUCUGUCUGCAAAUGCUCUGUUGCAGUGAGGACAAGAAAAGGGCUUCUCCCCUGGGGUGGAGGUGGAGUGGGAGGAAAAGAAAGACAGUCAGUGUUUUUAGAGGAAACGUAAAGACAGAUAACGUUCAUGAAUAACCACAUUUUGCCAAAAGAAUGAGAAGCAGCAAAACUUGAUUAAAAUUCCCCAUAAUACAUACUUAUUUUACUACCUAACCCUUUAAGAUACAUUUGAAUGUUGCAUUAAAAAAUCACAUUAAGCAUACUAUUUAUUGCUGCUGCCAGUAUGUAGAAAUGAUUCAUGUAUGUUUAGGACUUUCACUAAUUAAAACUUUCUGCUUCAGCAGGUGAAGCACAUGUUUAGCUCCUCCCAACAUUUCCCAAUAUCUCCCCUUUUCCCUCUUUCUGUAUUAUGACUAAGCCUGGAUAAAUGCCUUGACUCCCUGCAGAAUGUGCUAGGAAUAAAUUUUUAAAAAUCAGCAGUAAAAAGCAAAGCAACUGAAAGCAAAUUCAGUUCUAAUUAAUGCAACUUGCUAUAGGGUGAUAUAUAUUACAGCAAAAGGACGACGAACAGGAAACUAUAGGAGGAAAACCAUCUAUCAAUCAAAUGCGUUGAGAUAGCAACAUUUCUAUUUGCUGAUUAUUGGAAGCGGUUUCACAGAACAAACAUUCAAAUACCUCUUUCCUGAUUUUCUAACUGAUCUUUGAGACCAAACCUUCUGAAUCUACUUUCCAAAGUCUCAAUCCUGUUUGCAGUCUCUGGAGCAGAGGCUGUUAAAAAAGAAAUGAAGCAGUGUGUGCUUCAAGGACUUUUUGAGUCAUCAGGAAGUAGCUAUAAAUGAUCAUCCAUCAUUAAAAGCACUGUGUCACUACUCAAUGCAAACCCCAGUGCCAACCCAAAGCUUCCGUCUGCUAGAGAGCAACGCUCCUGUCUACGUUUUCUCUUACCAGUGUGAGUUCUGAUGUGUCCUUGGAGUAACCAGGGUCUGGAAAACGCCUUGCCACAGAUCUUGCAGACACAAGUUCGCUGUAGUUCGGCUUUUUGGAGGCGUUGAAAUGCUUCUUGACCAGGAAAGAGCGCGGCAUCUUGCGGGCGAGUCUGGCGAGCGCCGGCGCGGAUAACGGUCCGGUCCGGCGGGAGGACACGGCCGGUCCCUAGAGCAUCGUGGCCGGCGGGGCUCGGCCGCCGCUCAGGUGCGCGGAGGGAGGGCGGGCGCCUCUGAAGUCGCCGGGCUCCGGUCGGGACUGAGCCCGCGCCGGGGCUGGGUGGGUUUUUUCCUCUCUCCCGCGGGCAGGAGCCAAUCGCCGCCCAGAGGCUCGGGUUUCAGCUCCUCCCUCUGGGACAGCUGUGAACAGAGGAAGAAUCUGUUGUCAGACCAAAUGAUUCUGCUUCAAAAUGGGCUGUGCUUCGGGAUUUCAGUGGAGAGAGAGAAACAAGUGCCUAAGUAUUUUCAAGAGGUAAUUCCACGUCCUUAGCUCUGCCAGUUACCGUGCUCUCUGCGCGCUGGAUCGUCCCGGGAACCGUGAUUUCUAUAA